GAUGAAGAACGCAGCGAAAUGCGAUAAGUAAUGUGAAUUGCAGAACUCAGUGAAUCAUCGAAUCUUUGAACGCACAUUGCGCCCCCUGGUAUUCCGGGGGGCAUGCCUGUCCGAGCGUCAUUGCUGCCCUCAAGCACGGCUUGUGUGUUGGGCCCCCGCCCCCCGGUCCCGGGGGGCGGGCCCGAAAGGCAGCGGCGGCACCGCGUCCGGUCCUCGAGCGUAUGGGGCUUUGUCACCCGCUCUGUAGGCCCGGCCGGCGCCCGCCGGCGACCCCAAUCAAUCUUUUUCAGGUUGACCUCGGAUCAGGUAGGGAUACCCGCUGAACUUAAGCAUAUCAAUAAGCGGAGGA
rnacentral:misc_RNA from 1 species